AAUGGUGGGCUCUCUCUAAGCAUCUAAUACCCAGUACUGGGCCUCUAGUCCAUCACAGACACCUUAUCCUGGUCUCACAUAUCUUGGACACACUGGACAUUACCGACACCGGCCCGGUCUGGCUCUGGUAGCCACAGACUGUAGCAGUGUAGAUGGCCGCAGCACCGAGGUCAAUGUCCCCUUACCGACGCCCAUACAGCCACAUGCCACACUCCAGCAUGCAGACAUCCAGUCCCAGGACGAGCCAACAGAACAUCUGACCAUGGAGCUUGCCAGGCUGUGGAUCCUACAGGUCUGCAAUCACAGAGAAAUCAUAUCAUUCUCCAUCCAUAUUAAGACGCAGGCAGGCACAGCCCUCUCCAUCACUGGUGCCCCUGACAACACAGGAAAUGGAUCCCACCCGGUGGCAGCCUCAGCCUUCACACUAUUUAGCACCACAAUUAUCCCCCAUUCAUUCACAGGCUGGAUGAACCAUAUAAGGCCAACUGUGAUUCAGCGAUGAUCAGCGCAAUGUGAAACCACGGGUCUGGCCUGGCAAUUUGAUGUAAUUGUGCUGCUGUGAUCUUCUGUAGUAGACUAGGGGACAUACUGGGAUCUGCUAACGCAUUGGAGGAAAGAAUGGAGGGAGGAAAUGGAAGAAGAAGCUCAAUAAACAGAUUUAGAAAUCUGGGUUCAUUAAUAUGUAUUCAUGAUGUACUGACAGCCUGAACAACAUACAGGCUCUGUAUCACAGAGGAACUGAGUCUUCAUAUUGGGUAUGUUGUAUCAAAGUUUAAUGACCAUAAAAUACUUCCAUGAGUCAGUGAAGUCUAACACUGGAUCGAAGGCAUCAAUGUCAAAAAGGUAUUCUUUUUAACAACAUAUUCUCAUAUAUUUAACUUCUAUUGUCCUUCAAGAGUGGCAGAAUAUUGUUUAUACUGCAUGUCCAGUUUUUCAUUGGUAGGAAUCUGUGAGGUAGUGA